GACGAACGCUGGCGGCGUGGAUUAGGCAUGCAAGUCGAACGGUAUCAUCCUUUCGGGGGUGAGAGAGUGGCGAACUGGUGAGUAACACGUAGGUUAUCUACCCUCAAGACGGGGACAACCCAGGGAAACUUGGGCUAAUACCGGAUGUGAGCAACUUUUAGUUGUUUGAAAGGUGGCGUAAGCUGUCGCUUGGGGAUGAGCCUGCGUCCUAUUAGUUAGUUGGUGAGGUAACGGCUCACCUAGGCAAUGAUAGGUAGGCGGCCUUAACGGGUGGUCGCCCACACUGGGAUUGAGAUACGGCCCAGACUCCUACGGGAGGCAGCAGUCGAGAAUAGUCUACAAUGGUCGGAAGACUGAUAGUGCGACGCCGCGUGAACGAUGAAUCCCUUCGGGGUGUAAAGUUCUUUUAUAUGUGAGCAGUGCUUCUUAUAUUAACAGUAUGGGGAGAGAGAUAUUAGCAUAUGAAUAAGCAACGGCUAAACUCCGUGCCAGCAGCCGCGGUAAA
rnacentral:rRNA from 1 species